rnacentral:rRNA from 1 species
GAUGAACGCUGGCGGCGUGCCUAAUACAUGCAAGUCGAGCGAACAGACGAGGAGCUUGCUCCUCUGACGUUAGCGGCGGACGGGGGAGUCACACGUGGAUAACCUCCCUAUAAGACUGGGAUAACUUCGGGAAACCGGAGCUAAUACCGGAUAAUCUAUUGAACCCCAUUGUUCAUUAGUAAAUUACGGUUUUUCUGUCUCUUAUAGAUGGAUCCGCGCCUCAUUCUCUAGUUGGUAAGGUAACGGCUUACCAAGGCAACGAUGCGUAGCCGACCUGAAAGGGUGAUCGGCCACACUGGAACUGAGACCCGGUCCAGACUCCUACGGGAGGCAGCAGUAGGGAAUCUUCCGCACUGGGCGAAAGCUUGACGGAGCAACGCCGCGUGAGUGAUGAAGGUCUUCGGAUCGUAAAACUAUGUUAUUAGGGAAGAACAAAUGUGUAACUAACUACGGCCGUCUUGACGGUAGCUAAUACGAACGUCACGGCUAACUACGUG